GGAUGAACGCUAGCUACAGGCUUAACACAUGCAAGUCGAGGGGAAACGACAUCGAAAGCUUGCUUUUGAUGGGCGUCGACCGGCGCACGGGUGAGUAACGCGUAUCCAACCUGCCCACCACUUGGGGAUAACCUUGCGAAAGUAAGACUAAUACCCAAUGAUAUCUCUAGAAGACAUCUGAAAGAGAUUAAAGAUUUAUCGGUGAUGGAUGGGGAUGCGUCUGAUUAGCUUGUUGGCGGGGUAACGGCCCACCAAGGCAACGAUCAGUAGGGGUUCUGAGAGGAAGGUCCCCCACAUUGGAACUGAGACACGGUCCAAACUCCUACGGGAGGCAGCAGUGAGGAAUAUUGGUCAAUGGACGAGAGUCUGAACCAGCCAAGUAGCGUGCAGGAUGACGGCCCUAUGGGUUGUAAACUGCUUUUAUAAGGGAAUAAAGUGAGUCUCGUGAGACUUUUUGCAUGUACCUUAUGAAUAAGGACCGGCUAAUUCCGUGCCAGCAGCCGCGGUAAUACGGAAGGUCCGGGCGUUAUCCGGAUUUAUUGGGUUUAAAGGGAGCGUAGGCCGGGGAUUAAGCGUGUUGUGAAAUGUAGACGCUCAACGUCUGCACUGCAGCGCGAACUGGUUUCCUUGAGUACGCACAAAGUGGGCGGAAUUCGUGGUGUAGCGGUGAAAUGCUUAGAUAUCACGAAGAACUCCGAUUGCGAAGGCAGCUCACUGGAGCGCAACUGACGCUGAAGCUCGAAAGUGCGGGUAUCGAACUGGAUUAGAUACCCUGGUAGUCCGCACGGUAAACGAUGGAUGCCCGCUGUUGGUCUGAAUAGGUCAGCGGCCAAGCGAAAGCAUUAAGCAUCCCACCUGGGGAGUACGCCGGCAA
rnacentral:rRNA from 1 species